rnacentral:rRNA from 1 species
GAUGAACGCUGGCGGCGUGCCUAAUACAUGCAAGUCGAGCGAACAGACGAGGAGCUUGCUCCUCUGACGUUAGCGGCGGACGGGUGAGUAACACGUGGAUAACCUACCUAUAAGACUGGGAUAACUUCGGGAAACCGGAGCUAAUACCGGAUAAUAUAUUGAACCGCAUGGUUCAAUAGUGAAAGACGGUUUUGCUGUCACUUAUAGAUGGAUCCGCGCCGCAUUAGCUAGUUGGUAAGGUAACGGCUUACCAAGGCAACGAUGCGUAGCCGACCUGAGAGGGUGAUCGGCCACACUGGAACUGAGACACGGUCCAGACUCCUACGGGAGGCAGCAGUAGGGAAUCUUCCGCAAUGGGCGAAAGCCUGACGGAGCAACGCCGCGUGAGUGAUGAAGGUCUUCGGAUCGUAAAACUCUGUUAUUAGGGAAGAACAAAUGUGUAAGUAACUAUGCACGUCUUGACGGUACCUAAUCAGAAAGCCACGGCUAACUACGUG